CCUGCCUUCUGGUCCCCUGUUAUGACCCACAUGGGGGCAAUACCAUGGUCAGGGUGGGGGCAGACUGGGACCUGCCACAGAGAGAGGGUCUGGUGAAUUCUGCCAUGCUGUGCACUUUUCAUUGCUUUGGCUUCAUAGAUUCCUGUGUCUUGUGGAGAAGCCAGAUGGACCUGAUUUUUCUGGUGAGAACUUACCACUGGAAGGGACCUGCAUUACGCCAUUGCGAUCACAGGACACUCCUGCUGCACCGUGACUUUCCUCAAAGCAAGAAUGGCAGUCUGCUGGAUAACCACCUUGCGUAUUUCUACCACCUGAAGAUCUCCAUGUGGAAAGUUCCAAGGUUAAUUUUCCGUCUUCCUGAAGAACCUGUCCAGUGCUUUCAAGUUCAAUCGUGUCACUCCAGGGAAUGUGACAGCUGUGCAGAAAAACAGCCUUUGCUCAUGUUUCUGGCUCCAGUUAUAGCAACACCAGGCAGCACAGGGCAGCGAAAAUAGCAUGGUCGGAGGAAGGCGGACCCUGACCCUGAUUCCACGACUUAUCACCUGUCACCUUGGAAAAGGUACUUAAGCCCUGCCCCUCACUUUUCUCAGUUGUAAAAGAUGAAGAUAUUAUCUUUCAUGUUAAGGGAACUGUGAGGACUAAAUGAGAUAGUGAAUGGAAAUCAUACAGAUGUUUGAUGACUAGUAAGUACAAUUUGGCAGUUCCUGGGCUUGUGUGUAAGACAGCUGUUAGAAAAAAUAUUUCCUGCCCUCCAGGAGCUUAAGGGUAAGUGGGCAAACAUUUGGAAGGGAAGUGUGUUAGAAGAAAGGGCAUUAAUACAAUUAAGGGACAUUUCUUUCAAAUCGAUAUAAAUUAUGUUGCAUACCAGCGGCUAAAAAUAAACAUUUGUUCACUACCCUACUGAGGAUUACU
rnacentral:lncRNA from 1 species